rnacentral:rRNA from 1 species
UACGGAGGGGGCUAGCGUUGUUCGGAAUUACUGGGCGUAAAGCGCACGUAGGCGGAUCAGAAAGUCAGAGGUGAAAUCCCAGGGCUCAACCUUGGAACUGCCUUUGAAACUCCUGGUCUUGAGGUCGGGAGAGGUGAGUGGAAUUCCGAGUGUAGAGGUGAAAUUCGUAGAUAUUCGGAGGAACACCAGUGGCGAAGGCGACUCACUGGCUCGAUACUGACGAUGAGGUGCGAAAGCGUGGGGAGCAAACAGG